rnacentral:misc_RNA from 1 species
GAUGAAGAACGUAGCGAAAUGCGAUAAGUAAUGUGAAUUGCAGAAUUCAGUGAAUCAUCGAAUCUUUGAACGCACCUUGCGCCCUUUGGCUAUUCCAGAGGGCAUGCCUGUUUGAGUAUCAUGAACACCUCAACUCUCAUGGUUCUGCCAUGAUGAGCUUGGACCUUGGAGGUCUUGCUGGCCCCUGUGGUCAGCUCCUCUCAAAUGGAUCAGCUUGCCAGUGUUUGGUGGCAUCACAGGUGUGAUAACUAUCUACGCUUGUGGUUUUCCACCAGGUAACCUUCAGUGAUGGAGGUUCGCUGGAGCUCAUAAACGUCUCUCCUCAGCGAGGACAGCUUCUUGAACGUUUGAUCUCAAAUCAGGUAGGGCUACCCGCUGAACUUAAGCAUAUCAAUAAGCGGAGGA